UACGUAGGGGGCAAGCGUUGUCCGGAAUCAUUGGGCGUAAAGCGCGUGUAGGCGGUUCGAUAAGUCUGCUGUGAAAGUCCAGGGCUCAACCCUGGGAUGCCGGUGGAUACUGUCGGACUAGAGUGCGGAAGAGGCGAGUGGAAUUCCCGGUGGAGCGGUGAAAUGCGUAGAGAUCGGAAAGAACACCAACGGCGAAAGCACUCUGCUGGGCCGACACUGACACUGAGAGACGAAAGCUAGGGGAGCGAAUGGG
rnacentral:rRNA from 1 species